GGCCUAUUAGCUCAGUUGGUUAGAGCGUGGUGCUAAUAACGCCAAGGUCGCAAACGCGAAGGUCGCAGGUUCGAGACCUGCAUGGGCCA
rfam:Cajanus cajan Scaffold128736_11, whole genome shotgun sequence.